CGAAAGAUUGAUCUAGUUACUUAUUAGGAUGAUAUUUAAAUUUAAAUAUAUUUUUAUAUAAUUAUAUAAUAUAAAUAAAUUGAUUAAAAAUAAAAUCCAUAUAUAAAUAAAAUAAUGAUAAAUUUAUCUUAUAAAAUUAAGAAAUAAUUAUAUAUUUUAUAUAGUUAUUUAUAAUAGUCUUAACAAAUAAUUGUGCCAGCAGUUGCGGUCAUACAAUGAAGGCUAGCAUUAAUCAUAAUGGUUUAAAGUAUCCGUAGAAUUAAUAUAUAGAUAAAAUAUAUUUAGAGUUAAUAAAAUUAAUUAAAGAAUUAUAAUAGUAAGGAUGAAAUAAUUAUAAUAAUUAUAAGACUGGUAUAUGUGAAAAUAUUAAUUAAUAAUUAACUGACAUUGAGGGAUGAAGACUAAAGUAGCAAAACAGAUUCGAUACCUGUGUAGUUUUAGUAGUAAACGAUGAAUACCAUAUUAUUAUAAAAUUAUAAUAAUAUAUAUGAAAAUGUAAGUAUUCCACCUGAAGAGUAUAUUAGCAAUAAUGAAACUCAAGACAAUAGACGGUUACAGACUUAAGUAGUGGAGUAC
rnacentral:rRNA from 1 species